rfam:Schistosoma rodhaini strain Burundi genome assembly, scaffold: SROB_scaffold0000162
AUCCAGUUGACGAGUCCCAAAUAGGACGAAACGCGCGUCAAUGUGGAU